UCGGUCCACCGGUGUCCGCCAUUUCAUUCUUGCAAGCCUUGGAAACACUUGGAUAAGCUAACAGCAGCAUGAAUCAAUUUCGACAACCGAGAUGCUCAGUGGUCGGCUGCACAAAUCAGCACAAAUGUCUUCAUGUGACUCCAGCUUCAGAAGACACAAGAUUGAGAUGGAUUGAGUUCAUAUAUGAUGGCAACGUUCCUGCCACCACUUUGAAUCGGACUGUUUUAUCAACCUGCGCCAAUAUAACGCUGGAUUCUCUAAAAGGUUGUUAUUGAAAGAGGGGUCGGUGCCAUCUUUCCAUCGCAAUACUGAAGACGAGGGAAAUGCAAGCACAUCUGUUCACGGUGCUAGGCUACAUCACGUAGCAUGCCAGACGGACCCACCAAAGAUGCGCACACAUGGAACGCAGCUUUCUAUGAAAACACUGCGACCUCACUACAAAAGUACAGGCACACAGAAAACUGUGCUGCACUGAUGUCGGUGUUGGGACCUCAGCUGUAAGAGACCUCGUUUGGAGGAGGGAGAGGACAACCCAAGUUGUUCAAGUAUGGACUUCGGAGAGCCACAGGAUGCUACCUAUGAUCCUGAUGACUCGAUCACAGUCUUGACUGAGUCAGCAGAUGUGACAAUGGAAUCUUCCAACCCUGUUCAUAAGACACCCACAUAUAUUGUCUAUGAAAACUGCCUCCUGGAGCUGUUUGAGGUGUGUCCUGUGUGUCGGCGGGGGACAGAUGUAAUAUAUAAGAAGGGCGAGUGCACAGCAAAGCCGGUGAAAGCAGAUGCAACCUUCCGUGAUUCUCACAGGCUCUAUUUAAAAGCCAAACAGUGUACAAACAGUAUGUGAAACAUAAAUAACAUAUCGAUUAACUGCUGUCUUUAAAUUGUCUUCACGAUUUAAAGACCAUUUAUUUAUCGUCUUCACGAUAAAUAGAAUAAAAUAAUUAUAAAAAGAAAAUAAUAAAUACAAAAAGUGCAAAAUGUCCAACUUUUCCCCUCAAUUUGUAUUACAGAUCACGUGGAUAACCUGUUGGACCUCAUCUUUCACCAGGUUUUUCAGGACCCGGCCCCAUAUGUGAAUGAGGUGCUGAAGAUCUCAAAACCUGAGGACCUCUCUGCUAAGUAUGAGAAACCUGACAAGCAGGAAGUUAUAGCCAGCUAUGUGUCGAGUUUCAAUCAAGGGCAGGUCUGAACCCUGUAUAACUUCCCUGAGCAUCAGGGAACACUCUGCGUAUCUGGAGCACCGAGCAGGAGGGCAGGACCACCCUGAUUCUCCGGCCCAGAUAGCCUCAACACCAGCUAACAAAGCUUCUCUACGACAAAUACCUGUAACGGCUGAGCAAAGUUCACAUUGUAUUUAGAGAAUAAAGGUGACACACAAAUAUAAAGUGUUCCUUUGUUUACAGUAUGGCUACUGAUGGCACAAAUUGUAUUUUUGAAAUCAAUGUUUUUAU